rnacentral:rRNA from 1 species
AGAGUUUGAUCMUGGCUCAGAACGAACGCUGGCGGCGUGCUUAACACAUGCAAGUCGAACGAGAAGUACAGUAGCAAUACUGUAUUGUAAAGUGGCGCACGGGUGAGUAACACGUGGGUAAUCUGCCCCUGAGUUUGGGAUAACCCCGCGAAAGCGGGGCUAAUACCGAAUAAGACCACGGGGACCAAAGUCCCUGAGGUAAAAGAUGGCCUCUAUUUAUAAGCUAUCACUUGAGGAUGAGCCCGCGGCCCAUUAGCUAGUUGGUAGGGUAAUGGCCUACCAAGGCUAUGAUGGGUAGCUGGUCUGAGAGGACGAUCAGCCACACUGGAACUGAGACACGGUCCAGACUCCUACGGGAGGCAGCAGUGGGGAAUAUUGCGCAAUGGGCGAAAGCCUGACGCAGCRACGCCGCGUGAGGGAUGAMGGCCUUCGGGUUGUAAACCUCUUUCAGCAGGGAMGAAGCGACAAGUGACGGUACCUGCAGAAGAAGCACCGGCYAACUACGUGCCAGCAGCCGCGGUAAUA